rnacentral:rRNA from 1 species
CCUACGGGGCGCAGCAGUGGGGAAUAUUGCACAAUGGGGGGAACCCUGAUGCAGCGACGCCGCGUGGGUGAAGAAGUCAUUCGUGACGUAAAGCCCUAUCAGCAGGGAAGAAAAUGACGGUACCUGACUAAGAAGCCCCGGCUAACUACGUGCCAGCAGCCGCGGUAAUACGUAGGGGGCAAGCGUUAUCCGGAUUUACUGGGUGUAAAGGGAGCGUAGACGGCAGUGCAAGUCUGAAGUGAAAGGCAAGGGCUCAACCCUUGGACUGCUUUGGAAACUGUGCUGCUGGAGUGUCGGAGAGGCAA